GGACAGAUGGCCGAGUGGUCUAAGGCGCCGUCUUCAGGUUCCCAUGUCUCGUGGCCUUGAUCGGCGGUCUUCGGGCGUGGGUUCGAAUCCCACUCUGUUCA